rnacentral:rRNA from 1 species
UACGUAGGGUGCAAGCGUUUAAUCGGAAUUACUGGGCGUAAAGCGUGCGCAGGCGGCUUUGCAAGACAGAUGUGAAAUCCCCGGGCUUAACCUGGGAACUGCAUUUGUGACUGCAUGGGCUGGAGUGCGGCAGAGGGGGAUGGAAUUCCGCGUGUAGCAGUGAAAUGCGUAGAUAUGCGGAGGAACACCGAUGGCGAAGGCAGUCCCCUGGGCCUGUACUGGACGCUCAUGCACGAAAGCGUGGGGAGCAACAGG